UGAGACUGUGGGGGAUAAGCUUCAUAGUCGAGAGGGAAACAGCCCAGAUCGCCGGUUAAGGCCCCUAAGGGUGUACUAAGUGGAAAAGGAUGUGGGAUCGCGAAGACAGCCAGGAGGUUGGCUUAGAAGCAGCCAUCCUUGAAAGAGUGCGUAAUAGCUCACUGAUCGAGUGGUUCUGCGCCGACAAUGUAGUGGGGCUCAAGUACACCGCCGAAGCCGCGGCAACAAUUUUUUGUUGGGUAGGGGAGCGUCGUGCAUGGGUUGAAGCGUUACCGUAAGGAGGCGUGGACUGUGUGCGAGUGAGAAUGCAGGCAUGAGUAACGAAUUGAUAGGUGAGAAUCCUAUCCGCCGGAUGACUAAGGGUUCCUGGGUCAAGUUCGUCUUCCCAGGGUGAGUCGGGACCUAAGGCGAGGCCGACAGGCGUAGUCGAUGGAUAACCAGUUGAUAUUCUGGUACCCGUACAUGCGCGCCCAUGAUAAAGCACUGAUACUAACCACCGCGGAUGCAUUGCUGGUCUUCUUUGAAGUCUGGUGGUGUUGAUGUCGUGGGGCCUGAUGUGUGGUUCAAGUGAUGGGGUGACGCAGUGAGGUAGCCACGCCACUUAUUGGAUUGGUGGUGUAAGCGUGCAGACCGUGUGGUAGGUAAAUCCGCCGCACAUUUUGGUUGAGGCGUGAUGCGUAGACCCAUUGGGGUUGAUGGUGGUGAUCCUGUACUGUCGAGAAAAGCCUCUAGCGAUGUGUGUGUAUGGCCCGUACCCUAAACCGACACAGGUGGUCAGGUUGAAAAUACUAAGGCGUUCGGGUGAACUGUGGUUAAGGAAUUCGGCAAAAUGCCCCCGUAACUUCGGGAGAAGGGGGGCCCUACGAUGUGAGCACUCUUGCGGUGUUAAGCGUUGUGGGGUCGCAGAGAAUAGAGGGAAGCGACUGUUUAUCAAAAACACAGGUCCAUGCGAAGACGUUAAGUUGAUGUAUAUGGACUGACGCCUGCCCGGUGCUGGAAGGUUAAGAGGACCGGUUAGUCAACGUUGUUGGCGAAGCUGAGAAUUUAAGCCCCAGUAAACGGCGGUGGUAACUAUAACCAUCCUAAGGUAGCGAAAUUCCUUGUCGGGUAAGUUCCGACCUGCACGAAUGGCGUAACGACUUCUCUGCUGUCUCAACCACAGGCCCGGUGAAAUUGCACUACGAGUAAAGAUGCUCGUUACGCGCGGCAGGACGAAAAGACCCCGGGACCUUCACUAUAGCUUGGUAUUGGUGUUUGGUUCGGUUUGUGUAGGAUAGGUGGGAGACUUAGAAGCUAUCACGCUAGUGGUGGUGGAGUCGUUGUUGAAAUACCACUCUGAUCGGAUUGAGCAUCUAACCUUGGCCCAUGAUCUGGGUUGGGGACAGUGCCUGGUGGGUAGUUUAACUGGGGCGGUUGCCUCCCAAAAUGUAACGGAGGCGCCCAAAGGUUCCCUCAGCCUGGUUGGCAAUCAGGUGGUGAGUGUAAGUGCACAAGGGAGCUUGACUGUGAGACAGACAUGUCGAGCAGGGACGAAAGUCGGGACUAGUGAUCCGGCACCUACUUGUGGAUGUGGUGUCGCUCAACGGAUAAAAGGUACCCCGGGGAUAACAGGCUGAUCUUCCCCAA
rnacentral:rRNA from 1 species